AGAAUCAACGCUGGCGGCGUGCCUAACACAUGCAAGUCGAACGAGAAAGUGGUAGCAAUACCAUGAGUACAGUGGCGCACGGGUGAGUAACACGUGACUAACCUACCCUGGAGUGGGGGAUAACUGAGGGAAACCUUAGCUAAUACCGCAUAAUACCUACGGGUCAAAGGAGCAAUUCGCUUCAGGAGGGGGUCGCGGCCGAUUAGUUAGUUGGCGGGGUAAUGGCCCACCAAGACAGUGAUCGGUAUCCGGCCUGAGAGGGCGCACGGACACACUGGAACUGAAACACGGUCCAGACUCCUACGGGAGGCAGCAGUGGGAAUUUUGCGCAAUGGGGGAAACCCUGACGCAGCAACGCCGCGUGGAGGAUGAAGUCCUUCGGGACGUAAACUCCUUUCGAUCGGGACGAUAAUGACGGUACCGGAAGAAGAAGCCCCGGCUAACUUCGCGCCAGCAGCCGC
rnacentral:rRNA from 1 species